UACAGAGGGGGCAAGCGUUGUUCGGAAUUACUGGGCGUAAAGGGCGCGUAGGCGGCCUGCUAAGUCGAACGUGAAAUCCCCGAGCUCAACUCGGGAACUGCGUCCGAUACUGACAGGCUUGAAUCCGGGAGAGGGAUGCGGAAUUCCAGGUGUAGCGGUGAAAUGCGUAGAUAUCUGGAGGAAUACCGGUGGCGAAGGCGGCAUCCUGGACCGGCAUUGACGCUGAGGAGCGAAAGCCAGGGGAGCAAACGGG
rnacentral:rRNA from 1 species